rnacentral:misc_RNA from 1 species
UUAAAUGACAUUUUUGUAAUCUUUCUACUAUUACAAAUUGUUUUGUACAAAAAAUUUAUUAAGUAGUUGUACUUAUACACUGUAUAUUAUAUUUACGUAUAGUAUUUAAGACUAUUAAAUAAAAUUAACACUAACCUAAAGUUAUUGACUAAUAACAAAUACUGAGUUAAUUUAUUGUUAAAUAAAUAUUCUGUUGACAUUGCAAAAAUAGACACAAGAAUUAUGGAGAAAGAAGAAAUUUGUCUGUAUUUCAAUAACAUUAUUAGAGAUGAAAAACAUGUAUCUGCCGGAAUGGCUGCUAUUCGUACAUUGCUUAAGGUUCUGGAAUGCUCAAAAUCAGAAACAGUUCAAGAGCUUAGGUAUUGUCUACAAAAUGCAAUAGAUGCAAUGAGAUCUACAGAAAAUCCUGUAACUGCUAUUGCAUCAGGCAGCGAAUUAUUUCUUCGUUUUAUAACUUUGGCCACAUUAGAUACACCAUCAUUUGCAGAAUGUAGAGGGAUUAUGCUUCAUAGAGGAAAGAUGUUCUAUGAGAAGUUAGUAGCUGCAAGAGGGAAGGUUGCAAAAGUAGCAGCACAUUUCAUUAAGGAUGGUUCUAAAAUACUUACUCACUCAAAAUCUAGAGUUGUAUUACAAGCAAUGAAAGAAGCUGCUGCAAGUAACAAAAUAUUUGAAGUAUAUGUUACUUCUUCCUCACCAGAUAAUAGUGGAGAAGAAAUGUACCAGAAUUUAACUAACUUGGGUGUAUCCUGCACCUUAAUAUUAGACUCUGCAAUGGGGUAUGUAAUGGAACAGGUUGAUAUGGUAAUGGUUGGAGCAGAGGGUGUUGCAGAAAGUGGUGGUGUUAUUAAUAAGGUUGGCACAUAUACAAUGGCUAUGUGUGCAAAAGAAGUGAAGAAACCUUUUUAUGUAUUAACUGAAAGUUUCAAGUUCUCACGAAUAUAUCCGUUAAAUCAAGUCGACCUGCCAGACGAAUUCAAGUACACGGCAAGCACGCUAAAAAAGAAUUUACAAAAAGAACAUCCGUUAGUUGAUUAUACGCCGCCUCAUUAUAUUAAUCUUCUGUUCACCGAUUUAGGCAUUUUGACACCUUCGGCUGUCAGUGAUGAACUUAUUAAAUUAUAUUUAUAAAAAACGUAUUUAUUAAUUGCAACUUUAUCCAUCUUAAUAGUUUUACUUUUUACUGUGGUACAUGUUACAUAUACAUUUGAACUUAAUAAAAGUAUGAACAGGAUAUAACGCACAAAAAUUGACGCGGAACCGCUUAUACUAAAGGAAAGUCGAACUUUACAAAACAUUUUAACACAAGGUUUAUUAAUUAAUUUUAAAAAUAAUAAUGAGUAUUGAACAAUGGUAACGCACAUAAAUUCUGUUUACAUUGCGAUUCAGUAUGUAUCCAGUUCUAUUCUAUAACACGACUUCAUUCAAGUGUUUCAUUCUUUUCUGUUCUUAAAUUCGUGUUAAUCAUAAAAUAAAUUUGCAUACCUCA